rnacentral:rRNA from 1 species
AACGAACGCUGGCGGAAUGCUUUACACAUGCAAGUCGAACGGUAGAGGGGGCAACCCCUUGAGAGUGGCGAACGGGUGAGUAAUAUAUCGGAACGUGCCCAGUCGUGGGGGAUAACGUAGCGAAAGUUACGCUAAUACCGCAUACGAUCUAAGGAUGAAAGGCGGGGGAUCGCAAGACCUCGCGCGAUUGGAGCGGCCGAUAUCAGAUUAGGUAGUUGGUGAGGUAAGGCUCACCAAGCCGACGAUCUGUAGCUGGUCUGAGAGGACGACCAGCCACACUGGGACUGAGACACGGUCCAGACUCCUACGGGAGGCAGCAGGUGGGGAAUUUUGGACAAUGGACGCAAGUCUGAUCCAGCCAUUCCGCGUG